rnacentral:rRNA from 1 species
UUAUGCGAUACUUGGUGUGAAUUGCAGAAUUCAGUGAAUGGCCUGGCGAAUCUUUGACGCAUCUUGCGCUCCUUGGUAUUCCGAGGAGCAUGCCUGUUUGAGUGUCAUUAAAUUCUCAACUCUCUUGUACUUUUUUGUAAAGAGAGCUUGGAUUGUGGAGGCUUGCUGGUCACUUAAUUGAGGUCAGCUCCUCUGAAAUGCAUUAGCGGAACCGUUUGCGAUCUGCCACAAGUGUGAUAAGUUAUCUGCACUGGUGAGGCAAUUGCUCUCUGUGUUGUUCAGCUUCUAACUGUCUCAGUCUGUCGAGACAACUUUUUGAAUGCUUGACCUCAAAUCAGGUAGGACUAGCCGCUGAACUUAAGCAUCUCAAUAAGCGGAGGAA